UGGGCCCUUAGCUCACCUGGCUUAGAGCGCCUGUUUUGCACGCAGGAGGUAAUCGGUUCGACUCCGAUAGGGUCCAA
rnacentral:tRNA from 1 species